AGUGAACGCUGGCGGUAGGCCUAACACAUGCAAGUCGAACGGCAGCACAGUAAGAGCUUGCUCUUACGGGUGGCGAGUGGCGGACGGGUGAGGAAUACAUCGGAAUCUACUUUUUCGUGGGGGAUAACGUAGGGAAACUUACGCUAAUACCGCAUACGACCUACGGGUGAAAGCAGGGGAUCUUCGGACCUUGCGCGAUUGAAUGAGCCGAUGUCGGAUUAGCUAAUUGGCGGGGUAAAGGCCCACCAAGGCGACGAUCCGUAGCUGGUCUGAGAGGAUGAUCAGCCACACUGGAACUGAGACACGGUCCAGACUCCUACGGGAGGCAGCAGAGGGGAAUAUUGGACAAAGGGCGCAAGCCUGAUCCAGCCAUACCGCGUGGGUGAAGAAGGCCUUCGGGUUGUAAAGCCCUUUUGUUGGGAAAGAAAAGCAGCAGGUUAAUACCCCGCUGUUCUGACGGUACCCAAAGAAUAAGCACCGGCUAACUUCGUG
rnacentral:rRNA from 1 species